rnacentral:rRNA from 1 species
UACGAAGGGGGCUAGCGUUGUUCGGAAUCACUGGGCGUAAAGGGCGCGUAGGCGGCCGAUCAAGUCGGGGGUGAAAGCCUGUGGCUCAACCACAGAAUUGCCUUCGAUACUGUUUGGCUUGAGACCGGAAGAGGUUAGUGGUACUGCGAGUGUAGAGGUGAAAUUCGUAGAUAUUCGCAAGAACACCAGUGGCGAAGGCGGCUGACUGGUCCGGUUCUGACGCUGAGGCGCGAAAGCGUGGGGAGCAAACAGG